AUAUUAAAGUACCCAUUAAAUGGGUUUCUUGUACCCAUUUUUAUAGCCAGUAUGAAGUUGUCAGAAAAAGGGUAUUUUCCUUUGACAUAAAAAAGGGUACUUUAACCUCUUUAUGAAGUAUCCUAACUGGUCACAAAAAAGGGUAUUUAGUAUACAUGAUACUUUUCAAGGCAACAGCGCCAUUUUUUGAUUUUAGUUUUUUGUCUCUCGGAGUUAGUGAGAAAAAUAUUAAAAUGAUUCUUCGACACCUUUUGAACGACCGCAAGGAUUAUUAGCUGCUGCGAUUCCAUCGAAAGUUGCGGAGAUUUCAUCAUUCUACGCGACAUCCGAUUUCCGGAACGAUGUUUGGCAGCAAUUUGCGUCCCAGACGGACGUGAAUAAAAUCUUGAAAUAUAAUCGAUGAUAAAAUGUGACGAAUAAAAACAAUACGAUGUAAAGAGUCUUUAA